UACGUAGGGUGCAGCGUUAAUCGGAAUUACUGGGCGUAAAGCGUGCGCAGGCGGUGAUGUAAGACAGAUGUGAAAUCCCCGGGCUCAACCUGGGAACUGCAUUUGUGACUGCAUCGCUAGAGUACGGCAGAGGGGGAUGGAAUUCCGCGUGUAGCAGUGAAAUGCGUAGAUAUGCGGAGGAACACCGAUGGCGAAGGCAAUCCCCUGGGCCUGUACUGACGCUCAUGCACGAAAGCGUGGUGAGCAAACAGG
rnacentral:rRNA from 1 species